rnacentral:rRNA from 1 species
CCUACGGGUGGCAGCAGUGGGGAAUAUUGCACAAUGGGGGAAACCCUGAUGCAGCGACGCCGCGUGAAGGAAGAAGUAUCUCGGUAUGUAAACUUCUAUCAGCAGGGAAGUAAAGGACGGUACCUGACCAAGAAGCCCUGGCUAACUACGUGCCAGCAGCCGUGGUAAUACGGAGGCGGCAAGCGUUAUCCGGAUUUACUGGGUGUAAAGGGAGCGUAGGCGGCGAUGCAAGUCAGAAGUGAAAGUCCGGGGCUCAACUCCGGGACUGCUUUUGAAACUGUGUUGCUAGAGUGCAGGAGAGGUAGGUGGAAUUCGUGGUGUAGCGGUGAAAUGCGUAGAUAUUAGGAAGAACACCAAUGGCGAAGGCAGCUUACUGGACUGUAAAUGACGCUGAGGCUCGAAAGCGUGGGGAGCAAACAGGAUUAGAUACCCUAGUAGUC